rnacentral:tRNA from 1 species
GCUGGGGUUGUGGCCCAGUGGUAGAGUGCUCACCUAGCAUGGGUAAGGCACUGGGUUUGAUCCUCAGCACAGCA